GUCCACGCCCUAAACGAUGUCAACUAGUUGUCGGGGAUUCAUUUCCUUGGUAACGCAGCUAACGCGUGAAGUUGACCGCCUGGGGAGUACGGCCGCAAGGUUAAAACUCAAAGGAAUUGACGGGGACCCGCACAAGCGGUGGAUGAUGUGGAUUAAUUCGAUGCAACGCGAAAAACCUUACCUACGCUUGACAUGCCAGGAACUUUCCAGAGAUGGAUUGGUGCCCGAAAGGGAACCUGGACACAGGUGCUGCAUGGCUGUCGU
rnacentral:rRNA from 1 species